rnacentral:rRNA from 1 species
UAGGGAAUCUUCCGCAAUGGGCGAAAGCCUGACGGAGCAACACCGCGUGAGUGAUGAAGGUCUUCGGAUCGUAAAACUCUGUUAUUAGGGAAGAAAAAAUGUGUAAGUAACUAUGCACGUCUUGACGGUACCUAAUCAGAAAGCCACGGCUAACUACGUGCCAGCAGCCGCGGUAAUACGUAGGUGGCAAGCGUUAUCCGGAAUUAUUGGGCGUAAAGCGCGCGUAGGCGGUUUUUUAAGUCUGAUGUGAAAGCCCACGGCUCAACCGUGGAGGGUCAUUGGAAACUGGAAAACUUGAGUGCAGAAGAGGAAAGUGGAAUUCCAUGUGUAGCGGUGAAAUGCGCAGAGAUAUGGAGGAACACCAGUGGCGAAGGCGACUUUCUGGUCUGUAACUGACGCUGAUGUGCGAAAGCGUGGGGAUCAAACAGG